UGGAUGUUUGCUAAAACAAGGACCACAGAAGCUGCCCUCUGAAGCACACUAGGUCAGACCCACCGGUAGCAGUAAUGGCGCGGAGAACAGAGAGGAGGGAGGCAUUAGUCUCACUUCCUCGUGGGACUGGAGCACCGUGUAAGUCUUGGCACUGCCGUCCCAUGUGCCACAGUAAUAGUCAGCCUCAUCGUCGGUCUGAACCCCAGAGAUGUGUAGAGCAACUGUGUUAACUGAGGCAUCUUUGGAUCCUGAGAAGCGGCCGGGGGCCGUGGAGACCUCGUACCCAUCUGUGUGUGUGUGGUGGUGCAGCAGAUACUGGGGAGGACUCCCUGGCUUGUGCUGUGUCCAGGAUAGGACGUGGCUGUUCACGCUGAGGCCGCUGCUCAGGGUGCAGAGUAAAGAAAGCACAGUGGAUCCUGAGCUUUGAAGUCAUGGGCAUCCGUUGUAUCCUGUUGUACCAAACAAGAGCACCACUUGGCAAGUACAUUCCCAAAGACCUUCAUCCACGCACAGCGCAGAC
rnacentral:lncRNA from 1 species